CAGUCAUACCAACGGGAAAUCAACCUUUUGAGCUCGGUCUCGUGGGUUUUGAAGAGUUUCAAAACCUUCGGAUUUGCGAGGAUUGGGCUCUUCUGGUGUACUUUCUCGUACGGUUAGUCAACAUCGGUUUUGAAUGUCAUAAAAUGACUGGAGGAAUGUAGCUUCGAUCUCGUAUUGAAGUGUUAUAGCCUUCGGUAGAUGUUUGGGAUCGGGAUUGGAGGAUUGACAACGGGAUACCCGUUCGGGGCUACCGUGUCUGAUCUCUGAUCGUUGCU
rnacentral:rRNA from 1 species